AAACAUAUAUAGGUCGCUCCUGAUUAUAAGUCGCCCCCCCCACCCAAACUAUGAAAAAAAACGCGAUUUAUAGUCCGAAAAUUACGGUAUUUUUAGUAUACUCAUGUUUUAUUCCCUAACUAAUUUAUUUUUUCAGCAUUUCAGGUCAUAUAUAAAGUUGGGUUUUCAAGGACUCAACAGAUUUUUUUUUCUCAAAAUUCAAGGAUAUAAAGAUCCAAGGAGCUUUUUCUUGUUAUAUUAAUACAAUGUUCAACAUGAUAUGGCACAAAAUACGCGGUCCCUGGUUUACCCAGUGAAAUAAGUAAAGAGAAAAGGUCGAUGCUCAUUCACCAUUUGAAUCUCUGCAAAGAUGCAUCAAAGGAGUGGAUGUAGGAGAAUGAAAAUGCAAGAGGAUUAAAUCACACAUUAUAUUUACAAGGUCAUUUUUGUAAUUGACAAAAACAAUAGAGAGCGUGAAUGAAGUGUUCAAUCUGCAGGGAUACAUGAGCAUUAGGCCCACAUUAUGAUACUUUUGAGUAGUUGAGUUUAGAUAGUUGAACACUUACAAAGUUCUGAAGUCAAUGAAUAAUUGAUUUCAUAAUUGUCCAUGCUUAGUCACAGGGCAGUUUUGCAUUUGUCUGUGUUUAGCUCAAACAAAUUACUAAUGUAUCUAUAGUAUGGGGGAAAAGACACCCCAUAAUUUAAGGAAAGUUGUUUAGUGGAUGACCUGAGCAAUUAAUUGAAUGUCCUGAGUAGACUGAUGUCUACACCAUUGACUAUAUCCAGCUCUUUCAGCUAUUUAAUUGUUCUGCAAACAAAAGAACAAUCCAGUGAAUAUGUUCCUAUAAAGUCUCAAGUUAUGAUGAAAAGGAUAUGAUAUGCAAACAUUUUUUAUAGGACAUGACAAGUCUAAGACUGGCUAUUCAGAUGAAACGGUCCAAACAAUGGACCUCUUUCAGUGAAGGAGUCAGGGCUUGGGUUUACUAUUGUGUCUGUUUGUGUGUUGUUUUUGUUCAUGAGUAAAAAGCACAACUAGGAUGCAGCACAUGCAGAAGCAAGUGAGCUGAGAUUGUCGCUUUACCUCUACAGUCAAGAAAGAUGGAUUUAUUUCUUCAAGUGAUUUCUGAUACAAAAGCAAGGAGUUCAAAAUAACAAUUUAAUGGGCUAUGAAGUUGGAUCAUUGUUUUUUGAGAGGGCAUCAAUAGAAAUUGUGGAACUCCACCAAGAUUUCUUUCUCUGGGGAAAUUUGUGGUACAAAAGCAAGGGGUCUAAAAUAACAACACUAUUUAAUGGGCCAGGAAGUGGGACCAUUGUCUUUUGAGAGGGCGUCAGUAGAACUUCUGCAACUCCACCAAGAUCUUUUUCUCAGGGGAAGUAUUGACACAAAACUGUGCAACAUCAAACAGUUUGGGCAAUAUUCAGAAUUAUUUGGUCAACUUGAAAUGCAAUUAAAUUUAUUUCCACUUCUAAAUAUAUUUAAAUUACAGAACAGAAUGGAACGAACUAUAGCUCUGUGGCUGUUUGUCAUGCUGCUACAACACCCCAUCAAUGCAGACUUUUCUGUUCCAACUAUUGAGUCCAACCAAACCACCAAAGAGUACACAAAUACUUCAGACAAGGACAACAAUGGCAAGCGAGUGGAUUGUUUGGUUGAUACGAAGAUAGGCCUGAUUGCUUUGGGUUCGGCAGGGGGUCUGAUUUUUUGCCUGUUGAUUGCCACUGUGAUAUUGGCAUGUCAAAUCUGCCAUAUUCGGCGCCAGGUUUAUGUUCCACAAGCCUCCCACCCCAACAUGUACUUAGUGAGUAGUACAGACUACUGGGACACUAACCCAUUUGAGCUUGAAGGACUGAAUGGGCCAUGUGACACAAGUGUCAUGCUGGAGGAGGUAACGGCAGACAACACAAUACAGGAGGAGAAUCAAGUUGAAAUAGACAGGGAAGAGGCGGGAGCAAGGACAGAAACUGAACAAGAGGAAAAAGCUUUUGAUCGUGACACAAAUGAUCAUAAGAUGUUGAGCUCAGAUGCAAAACCUUU